rnacentral:rRNA from 1 species
UGGGGAAUAUUGGACAAUGGGCGCAAGCCUGAUCCAGCCAUGCCGCGUGAGUGAUGAAGGCCCUAGGGUUGUAAAGCUCUUUCACCGGUGAAGAUAAUGACGGUAACCGGAGAAGAAGCCCCGGCUAACUUCGUGCCAGCAGCCGCGGUAAUACGAAGGGGGCUAGCGUUGUUCGGAUUUACUGGGCGUAAAGCGCACGUAGGCGGACUUUUAAGUCAGGGGUGAAAUCCCGGGGCUCAACCCCGGAACUGCCUUUGAUACUGGAAGUCUUGAGUAUGGUAGAGGUGAGUGGAAUUCCGAGUAUAGAGGUGAAAUUCGUAGAUAAUCGGAGGAACACCAGUGGCGAAGGCGGCUCACUGAACCAUUACUGACGCUGAGGUGCGAAAGCGUGGGGAGCAAACAGG